rnacentral:SRP_RNA from 1 species
GCCCAGGCUGGUGCGUGCCGGUAGUCCCAGUUACUGAAGAGGCUGAGACAGGAGGCUAACUUGACUUCAGGAGUUCUCUGCUAUAGUGCACUCUGCUGAUAAGCUGCCUGCAUUAAGCUCGGCAUCCAUACAGUGACCUCCCAGUAUCAGGGGACCACCACGUUGCCUAAGGAGGGGUGAACUAGCACAGGUUGGAAAUGGAGCAGGUCAAAACUCCAGUGCUGCUCAGUAGUAGGGAUCUCACCUGUGAAUGGCCACUGCACUCUACAUCUCUACAUUCUUUCUAA